CAGCACCUCUAGUGGUCAGGAUGAUUAUUGGGCCUAAAGCAUACGUAGCCGGCUCUGUAAGUUUUCGGGUAAAUCUGUACGCUUAACGUACAGGCUGCCGGGAAUACUGCAGAGCUAGGGAGUGGGAGAGGUAGACGGUACUCGGUAGGAAGGGGUAAAAUCCUUUGAUCUAUUGAUGACCACCUGUGGCGAAGGCGGUCUACCAGAACACGUCCGACGGUGAGGGAUGAAAGCUGGGGGAGCAAACCGGAUUAGAUACCCCAGUAGUCC
rnacentral:rRNA from 1 species